rnacentral:lncRNA from 1 species
UUGAGGUUUGGCAAAUUACCACUUCUGAGUUGAUUACCUAGAAAUCGGUGUUUCCAUUAAAAAAAUCAGUUCUUUCUCUGACAACAAACUCAAAUAUCUGAACUCAACUCAGUAUCAACAGUUUAGAAAUCUCAGAUUGAAAGAAAUGAAUCAGAAAUCUCUUCAACUCACUCACUUGUAGAAUAAAAGUUUUGAGUUAUAGAUCGGUGUUUAAAUCCUCAAUCAAAGAACGUUAUCUAACUUUAAAUCGACAAAUUAAGCAAGAAAAUCUCUUCAACCUCUUCGAUUACUUUUAUUCUUACUAAUUUUCUUCAUCAAUCACUUCAAAGUUUAAACACAAAUCAAAUCUUCUCUUUCUUUCAUUUCAAACAUAAAUCAAUCUUCAGAAAAACUAUAAGACCAGUAAGAAGUAUUACAUGCUUUGAAUGAAUCAGUAAACUAGAUAGAUUUUCAAAACGAGCUGAUGAGAGAGAGAAAGAGAGAGUUAAGUGAAGUGGAGAAGAAGAUAAAACGGCAGAGAGAGAGAUAGAUUAAGAAAGAGAAGAGGAAAUUGCAGGUUUUUGGAAACAGGAAUCUGUUAAAUGAAGAGAUGAGGUUCGGG